GAUAUAUUUAGUUUAAGAUGAUAAAUUUAUCACUCUGGUUUGUGAGCAAAAACACUUUUUUCCUUUUUUAUUUUUUUAUAAUUGCACUUUUACACCCUAAAAAGUUGGGGUAAAGUUUGAUGUUAGUAAAAUUGCAUAAAUCUAUUGUAUUCUCUCUCUGGAUUCAUUUAUCUACUAAUUGGGUUGCUGUUCUUUUAUGUACUCAGCAUGCAGCGUUGGUUCUUUAGGUAACUUCCCGAGAAUGACACUGAAUUUUGAUCUUCGUUAUACCUUUGGGUCCCUGGCCAAAUGAUGAGGCACAGCAUUUCACAAAAUGAACAGACUCCCACAAUUCAUUUCCCAUUAUGAGGUUCGUUGUCUAUGAAGAAGAGUUCUUCCUACAUUCCCAAAAAUAAGCAAAACUUUUAUAAUAAAUAAAACUAACAGACGAUUAAAUGGGAAACAACAGUAUAGUCACUUUAAAUGUGAUGUUGGUGGAGA